CAAAUUACUCGAAAGAAAGCACUAAAAAAUACUAGAGCAAAAAAUAAUAGGGGACUGUGUUGAACAUAUUUUUCAGAAUAAAUAAAAUGAGUGGGUAAAAAAAUAAAAUGGAAUUGGAAAUAAAUAUGGUAAAAAUAAAAUAAAAUGGAAAGUGAAAUAAACAUUUUGCACACGCUGAGGGUUGAACCCCUGACCUCAGGGUCAUGGGGGGAUCAAC
rnacentral:lncRNA from 1 species